UCCAACGCUCCUUCAACGCACCACAAUUGCCACAGCAGAGAGAGAGAGAAGAUAAAGGAGUCCGUGUAUUUACUUAAUAACCUAAUAUCUGCGGUGGCCUUGCUCGUGUUCUUCCUGUCGGCGUCUGCGUGUGUGUUCCUUCAGGUAUUGCUGUGCGUGACAGAAGCAGAUUGCAAACAACGAUGGAGCACAAGAGUCACGUCUGCAGUGUGUUCUACAAACACUUCACUGAAAAGUCAAGCUUGACCCGCCACAUGAAGCUUCAUGGUCCAAAGGAGCACAAGUGCAGUGUGUGUGGGAAGAGCUUCAGCACCGAGCAUGCUGGAGUAUGUGUGAGACUUCCCAUCUGUCAUGUGCCAUCAUGACAAGAGGUUGAAGAAACAUGAAGCAAAGACUGAGGCUUCUUCUCAGUCAAAGCCCAGCAUGACGCUCUCUAUGCCACUGAUGCAGAGCUUCUGGCUGUUGCAGAAAGUCUCCUGGACGAGUCGGAGGUGUGUGUCCUGGCCUACAACAGGGAGGACAUGAUGCUCCGGUCAAAGCCGUCAGGAGUGGAAGUCCAGAGCUGUACGCCCAGUAUUCGAACCAGGACAUGAUCGGCGUCCUCAAAGCCCAUCAGAUCAAGUCUUGCGUCAGGCGCGUCACCCGUGGGAUUGAGGACACUGCCUGUCCUAGAAUCAAUUCUGGCUGACUUCAAGGGGCCAGCGGGUCUCCACAUAGACGGCAUCCCGCUCUUCAAGUCUACAGGCUGCAGAUGCACACCGGGCGACAGCAAGCAAACAUCUUGGAUGUACGCAGGCGAGUUCAGGUCUAUGUGUAAUUCUUGUCAUGCGUGUAGACCAGUCUGCCAGGCUAAGAGCCACGUUGUGUUUUGUAGGAUCCUCCUGGCUUUCAGCUGUACGUGGCAGUGAAGAAGGUGGUGCUGAACGGCGUGCAGCUGAACAGGUACAGAUGUCGGGCCUGCAUGCGCACCUGGACAACGCCAUUCCGUCCUACAGAUGUGGGAUCAGGCCAUUCCAAGUGUACCUGAUUGGAUUCGUUGUGCAGUGGAACACCAGGAUGGAAUCCCUCCGGGUGGCUGGCGGUCACCACCAUGAACCACCAGGCUGAGGUGCUGUUUGGCAAGGAGCAUGUGCCGGAGCCCAACUUUGCUGCUCCUCUGCCCUGCCCUGACCAAUACAAACACCUGGACGAGGAGGAGCUCCUGGGGUUGAGUACGCCCUGUGCCAGUCCACUGCCUUCACACCGCCGCAGUACUAUGCACAGAGAGUGCAGGAAGAGCAGUGUCGCCAGGAUGAGGAGGAGACUGCAGCAGCUACGGCGGUAGCUGAGAGGAUGGAGGAGGAAGAGGAGGAUCUUUGUGAUGAGGGGGUUGCCAUGGAGGAGGAGGACCCCAUAGAUGGCGUCUGUGGAGGACAGCCCCGCUUUGCAGAAAGUAGGUGGGAGCAGCCAGAAAUUGUUCACUUUUUGCCCCAGGACCGGCAAAUCCACCACACCUGGCUUUGAAGAUGUGGUGUACACCAGCUUUGAACAUUUUAAAGGUAUGGUGGACAAGGAACUGGAGAGGAGAAACAACCAACAGCUCUAAAGCCUCGCUGGACUGUUGACAGUUGCCUCUGCUGCUGCUGCUGUUGUUAUUUGCUGUUUGGACAUUUUAACUUAUUGUUUAUGUGUGCACUUCUGAGAAGGUCACUAUUUGUUCUUUGUUUGUGGCUGCCUCUUGUUUAAUUUCAGUUCAUUUAUUUACCUAGAAGUAACCGGACACAAUAAUUUGUCAUUUGCUGCACCAGACCAAAUUUACACUGAUUCUAAUUGACAUCCCCACUUUGCCACUUCUUUAAGUGCCACUUUUAAAGCCCUUGCCGAUGUCUUUGUGUUAUUAGACAGAUUGUUCCGCUGUCUAAAGGAACCGUAUACAAUAAUUAACUUUGUAGUGCACUAAACCAAACUUACAGUGAUUCUCAUAAUAUCCCCACUUUGUCACUUCUUUAAAUGUCACUUUUAAAUUGACAAUGUCUUUGUGGUAUCACAAGUGGCCUUGGCUGACUUUACAAAAGAGAAAUUAUGUGAUUUAGUAUUAUUACGUGUAUUUGUGCCAAACGUUUUAGGCUUGAAUGUUGAUAAGUGUACACUGCAUUUAAAGGUUUUGAAAUUUUUCAGAUUAUAGUGGAUUGAGGAAUGACUUUUAUUCCUGGUGCCUUCCUCAUCCUCCUUCCCCCCUUGUUCUGUCAGCUUGGCACUGCACUCUCCUUAUAAAGUAGCUAUUAGAAUGAUUGUCCUGUAUACUUGAAGUUUAUUACUUCCUCUACUGAGGCACUUCUCCCUAUUCGUAAAUAGUAUUACGAGUAGGUUUUUGUGUUGUAAAGUAUGUAUUAUUUGUAAUAUUUGCUCAUUUAAAAUAAUAGUAUUUUCUGAAGAUAUUUUAUGUAUUCUUUAUAUUUGCAAAAUAACAUAAACAAUCAAUAAAAAUAUUGGUGGCAUUUCAA